GACGAACGCUGGCGGCGUGCUUAACACAUGCGAGUCGAACGGAAAGGCCCUGCUUUUGUGGGGUGCUCGAGUGGCGAACGGGUGAGUAACACGUGAGUAACCUGCCCUUGACUUUGGGAUAACUUCAGGAAACUGGGGCUAAUACCGGAUAGGAGCUCCUGCUGCAUGGUGGGGGUUGGAAAGUUUCGGCGGUUGGGGAUGGACUCGCGGCUUAUCAGCUUGUUGGUGGGGUAGUGGCUUACCAAGGCUUUGACGGGUAGCCGGCCGGAGAGGGUGACCGGCCAGGGUGAGACUGGAGUCAGGCGCAGAGGCGGAGGGAGGCGAUGAGUGGCGAAUAGGGAAAGAGGGUCGGACGCUGGGCGCGGAAGCGGCGCGGGGGGGAGGGGGUCCGGCGGGUUGGCCACCGCUGCCGCGGGGGCGGAGGAGUGAGGGAGGGUAGUGGGAAAAGAACCCCCGGCUCGCUACGGGACAGCGGACGCGAUAAUAGGCGGAAGAGCAACCGUCUGACC
rnacentral:rRNA from 1 species